rnacentral:rRNA from 1 species
GAUGAACGCUGGCGGCGUGCCUAAUACAUGCAAGUCGAGCGAACAGAUGAGGAGCUUGCUCCUCUGACGUUAGCGGCGGACGGGUGAGUAACACGUGGAUCACCUACCUAUAAGACUGGGAUAACUUCGGGAAACCGGAGCUAAUACCGGAUCAUAUAUUGAACCGCAUGGUUCAAUAGUGAAAGACGGUUUUGCUGUCACUUAUAGAUGGAUCCGCGCCGCAUUAGCUAGUUGGUAAGGUAACGGCUUACCAAGGCAACGAUGCGUAGCCGACCUGAGAGGGUGAUCAGCCACACUGGAACUGAGACACGGUCCAGACUCCUACGGGAGGCAGCAGUAGGGAAUCUUCCGCAAUGGGCGAAAGCCUGACGGAGCAACGCCGCGUGAGUGAUGAAGGUCUUCGGAUCGUAAAACUCUGUUAUUAGGGAAGAACAAAUGUGUAAGUAAAUAUGCACGUCUUGACGGUACCUAAUCAGAAAGCCACGGCUAACUACGUG